AGCGUACACGGUGGAUGCCCUGGCAGUCAGAGGCGAUGAAGGACGUGCUAAUCUGCGAUAAGCGUCGGUAAGGUGAUAUGAACCGUUAUAACCGGCGAUUUCCGAAUGGGGAAACCCAGUGUGUUUCGACACACUAUCAUUAACUGAAUCCAUAGGUUAAUGAGGCGAACCGGGGGAACUGAAACAUCUAAGUACCCCGAGGAAAAGAAAUCAACCGAGAUUCCCCCAGUAGCGGCGAGCGAACGGGGAGCAGCCCAGAGCCUGAAUCAGUAUGUGUGUUAGUGGAAGCGUCUGGAAAGGCGUGCGAUACAGGGUGACAGCCCCGUACACAAAAAUGCACAUAUUGUGAGCUCGAUGAGUAGGGCGGGACACGUGGUAUCCUGUCUGAAUAUGGGGGGACCAUCCUCCAAGGCUAAAUACUCCUGACUGACCGAUAGUGAACCAGUACCGUGAGGGAAAGGCGAAAAGAACCCCGGCGAGGGGAGUGAAAAAGAACCUGAAACCGUGUACGUACAAGCAGUGGGAGCACGCUUAGGCGUGUGACUGCGUACCUUUUGUAUAAUGGGUCAGCGACUUAUAUUCUGUAGCAAGGUUAACCGAAUAGGGGAGCCGAAGGGAAACCGAGUCUUAACUGGGCGUUAAGUUGCAGGGUAUAGACCCGAAACCCGGUGAUCUAGCCAUGGGCAGGUUGAAGGUUGGGUAACACUAACUGGAGGACCGAACCGACUAAUGUUGAAAAAUUAGCGGAUGACUUGUGGCUGGGGGUGAAAGGCCAAUCAAACCGGGAGAUAGCUGGUUCUCCCCGAAAGCUAUUUAGGUAGCGCCUCGUGAAUUCAUCUCCGGGGGUAGAGCACUGUUUCGGCAAGGGGGUCAUCCCGACUUACCAACCCGAUGCAAACUGCGAAUACCGGAGAAUGUUAUCACGGGAGACACACGGCGGGUGCUAACGUCCGUCGUGAAGAGGGAAACAACCCAGACCGCCAGCUAAGGUCCCAAAGUCAUGGUUAAGUGGGAAACGAUGUGGGAAGGCCCAGACAGCCAGGAUGUUGGCUUAGAAGCAGCCAUCAUUUAAAGAAAGCGUAAUAGCUCACUGGUCGAGUCGGCCUGCGCGGAAGAUGUAACGGGGCUAAACCAUGCACCGAAGCUGCGGCAGCGACGCUGAUGCGUUGUUGGGUAGGGGAGCGUUCUGUAAGCCUGCGAAGGUGUGCUGUGAGGCAUGCUGGAGGUAUCAGAAGUGCGAAUGCUGACAUAAGUAACGAUAAAGCGGGUGAAAAGCCCGCUCGCCGGAAGACCAAGGGUUCCUGUCCAACGUUAAUCGGGGCAGGGUGAGUCGACCCCUAAGGCGAGGCCGAAAGGCGUAGUCGAUGGGAAACAGGUUAAUAUUCCUGUACUUGGUGUUACUGCGAAGGGGGGACGGAGAAGGCUAUGUUGGCCGGGCGACGGUUGUCCCGGUUUAAGCGUGUAGGCUGGUUUUCCAGGCAAAUCCGGAAAAUCAAGGCUGAGGCGUGAUGACGAGGCACUACGGUGCUGAAGCAACAAAUGCCCUGCUUCCAGGAAAAGCCUCUAAGCAUCAGGUAACAUCAAAUCGUACCCCAAACCGACACAGGUGGUCAGGUAGAGAAUACCAAGGCGCUUGAGAGAACUCGGGUGAAGGAACUAGGCAAAAUGGUGCCGUAACUUCGGGAGAAGGCACGCUGAUAUGUAGGUGAAGUCCCUCGCGGAUGGAGCUGAAAUCAGUCGAAGAUACCAGCUGGCUGCAACUGUUUAUUAAAAACACAGCACUGUGCAAACACGAAAGUGGACGUAUACGGUGUGACGCCUGCCCGGUGCCGGAAGGUUAAUUGAUGGGGUCAGCGCAAGCGAAGCUCUUGAUCGAAGCCCCGGUAAACGGCGGCCGUAACUAUAACGGUCCUAAGGUAGCGAAAUUCCUUGUCGGGUAAGUUCCGACCUGCACGAAUGGCGUAAUGAUGGCCAGGCUGUCUCCACCCGAGACUCAGUGAAAUUGAACUCGCUGUGAAGAUGCAGUGUACCCGCGGCAAGACGGAAAGACCCCGUGAACCUUUACUAUAGCUUGACACUGAACAUUGAGCCUUGAUGUGUAGGAUAGGUGGGAGGCUUUGAAGUGUGGACGCCAGUCUGCAUGGAGCCGACCUUGAAAUACCACCCUUUAAUGUUUGAUGUUCUAACGUGGACCCGUAAUCCGGGUUGCGGACAGUGUCUGGUGGGUAGUUUGACUGGGGCGGUCUCCUCCUAAAGAGUAACGGAGGAGCACGAAGGUUGGCUAAUCCUGGUCGGACAUCAGGAGGUUAGUGCAAUGGCAUAAGCCAGCUUGACUGCGAGCGUGACGGCGCGAGCAGGUGCGAAAGCAGGUCAUAGUGAUCCGGUGGUUCUGAAUGGAAGGGCCAUCGCUCAACGGAUAAAAGGUACUCCGGGGAUAACAGGCUGAUACCGCCCAAGAGUUCAUAUCGACGGCGGUGUUUGGCACCUCGAUGUCGGCUCAUCACAUCCUGGGGCUGAAGUAGGUCCCAAGGGUAUGGCUGUUCGCCAUUUAAAGUGGUACGCGAGCUGGGUUUAGAACGUCGUGAGACAGUUCGGUCCCUAUCUGCCGUGGGCGCUGGAGAACUGAGGGGGGCUGCUCCUAGUACGAGAGGACCGGAGUGGACGCAUCACUGGUGUUCGGGUUGUCAUGCCAAUGGCACUGCCCGGUAGCUAAAUGCGGAAGAGAUAAGUGCUGAAAGCAUCUAAGCACGAAACUUGCCCCGAGAUGAGUUCUCCCUGACUCCUUGA
rnacentral:rRNA from 1 species